AUUGAACGCUGGCGGAAUGCUUUACACAUGCAAGUCGAACGGCAGCACGGGAGCUUGCUCCUGGUGGCGAGUGGCGAACGGGCGAGUAACAUAUCGGAACGUACCCAGUCGUGGGGGAUAACUAUCCGAAAGGAUAGCUAAUACCGCAUACGUCCUGAGGGAGAAAGCGGGGGAUCGCAAGACCUCGCGCGAUUGGAGCGGCCGAUAUCGGAUUAGCUAGUUGGUGGGGGAAAGGCCCACCAAGGCGACGAUCCGUAGCGGGUCUGAGAGGACGACCCGCCACCCUGGAACUGAGACACGGUCCAGACUCCUACGGGAGGCAGCAGUGGGGAAUUUUGGACAAUGGGGGCAACCCUGAUCCAGCCAUUCCGCGUGAGUGAAGAAGGCCUUCGGGUUGUAAAGCUCUUUCAGCAGGAACGAAACGGUCGGCUUUAAUAAAAUCGGCUAAUGACGGUACCUGCAGAAGAAGCACCGGCUAACUACGUG
rnacentral:rRNA from 1 species